UGACCUCGAAUCAGGUAGGGA
rnacentral:rRNA from 1 species